UCCCAGACCUCAUUUAAGGGUUGGCAGUGGAGGUGAAGGGAUCCUGUUGAAGUUUCCUGCCUACCAGAGGCUUUCUAAGGUGAUUUCAGCACGUGAAGCCCCAGGAAAAUGCAGCAUAUUUGAAUCCCUGUGUAGUGUGGGAAAAGCUAUUUGUGUCUGUAGUUGCUGGAUAUCAUUUGCAAGGCACAUUCUGUGUUCAACAUGCCCGGGUCAGCCUUGUGCUUGAAGGCUGUCCACAGGAGUGACAGCCCAGCAGGACUUACGUGUGCACAAAUGGAACAGCAAAGCCUGAACGUCCCUUCCCGUGCCAUGUGCUGAGACAAACAGCGAGUGGAGAGCAGCAGGGCGUUCCCAGAAGGGCUGAGGAUGUGGCCAAACAGCUCCUGGCAGCAGGUGCCAGGGUGGAAGUGGCUGUGGUUCCAGAUAAGAUGUCAGGUGCAGUGUGGGACUGCUGGGGAGCUGAGAGCUGCUGGCGUUGGCUGGAGAGCACUCAGGGCAGUGCUGCUGGGGCUUCUGCAAUAUCCAUACACCUUUAAAAACCUGUUUCUAAAUACUUAUUAUAAAUUACAAACGAUGUAGUUGACACAAAUAUCUAUUUCUCUUGCUUGUGAAGUGUGAUACUCCAAGCUGAACGCCUGUUUUGCACCCUGUGAGCAGGGCUGCUGCUGUGCUGUGAGCACAUUCUUACACAGUUCAUUGCUGGAACAAGUGGUUUCAGCAUGUCCUAAUGCAAUAGGUGCAGAUUGUUCCUGGUUUUGUGUACACACGUAUGGAACUGAGAAUGAUAAUUAAAUUGAUCCUUUCUUUCUCAUUGGAAGUUGACAGCUGAUCCUUGUAUACAGGUUCAUUACUGCAUAUACUGUUUCUGUGCUAAGACACUUUUUUUCCACCAGUCUGAGGGCAGUUCUGUCCAAUGCUUUCAGUUCCCAUUGCCUUCUCUUGAAAACAGAAACAGUAAUAUGAAAAUUUAAAAAUACUGAAAAACUUGAAAUGCUAAAUGGGAGCUCUCUAAGUGGGAUGACACCAGUGUAGGUAGGAGCAUGCACUGCUCCUUCCUGCCUUGUGCCAGUAGCCCACCCUGAGCACGUUCUGUUCCCCAGCUCCAUUGGGUGACGUGGGCAGGAGAGCGUGCUGCAGUCAGGCUCUGCACCUCAUGGCACAGAUGUACACCCCAUCCUGUAUGGCUCAACAAAUGCAUUUGAGCAGUUUUGCUGCAGCUCUGCCAAUUUUCCACCUGCACGGGUCCUCAGCAAGAGGUAUGGAUCCAUUUGUUGGAAACAGCUGAUCAGGAAUGGAGCAUCUGUCCAGGAACAAACGUUUUGAUGAGGCCAUGGGUGGCAAAACAUUUUCUGUGGUACUUUUUUUUUUUUUUGCCCGAGGCACCUCCCUUUUGCUGUCAACAUAAUACAUCAUCUGUCUGGGAGCAGUAGCAGUGAGAUGGGAUUACUGACAGCUUCUCCGCUUCUUUAUUCCUUGCCUCUCAUCACAGCCACUGCACAGCAUGGGGAAUGACAGAACGUGGAGCUCCUUUGCUGGUGCUUUGCUCAAUUAACCCACGCAGGGCUGGGGAUUGCCCUGGAGGAGGAUGGAGAUCAGCUCUGAAAUCUUCCUGAUCCUGCAGGAGUCCUGCUGUACUCGAGGGGCCUUUCCACCUGCAGUGAGUGCAGAGGUGUCCCUGGGCUCCUUCCUAGGGGCUGGGAAAGGGAGCUGUGGGAAGCCCACCUGCUGUGUCCCAGGAGGUGCUGGGGCUGCAGGAGCCAACACUUCCUCCCAGGGGGGAGAUGCAUUGCUCCGUGUGAGCUCUGCUGCACUGCCUGUGCAGGACAGGUCUUUCUCCUCCCCUCGCCUUAAGGUUUGCACCUUUGCUUUGUCUGCGUCUGCUGGAUCUUGCAGGAAAGUCUCUGGAGUGAGGGUCACAGCUGUGCAGGAGCUGAGCACCUUUUGCCAUGGAAAAAGGGCCAGAGCUGGCAGGGGAAAGCCUCUGGGUGAUGCGAAAGGGCCUUGAAGCUACCUGACUUCAGGAGAAAGCCAGGAGGGGUAAAACGGUCCGUGACCUCUCCAUGCUGGCCUGAUUGGAGCUUGAAAGGGAGCUGUGGAGCCCUGCUGCUCACUGCUCGAGUGGUGACCUCAUCCCUGCGAAAGUUAAUUCAGCCAGGAGCAGCCUGAAAGCUCUCGAGAUCCGUAUCUGUAAGGGACAGGGAUGGCCCUCAGCCUUCAGGAGAACUGCAGUGCUGUGAGGGAAGGUCCGAGAGAGAUUCUGCAGCUUCCUGAAGUUAUCUCAAGCUUUCAUCUCCAAAUACAAAGGCUCAUGCAGACUUUGUAUUCUGUUAGUGUAACACCGAAUGUCCUCGUUCUUCAGGUAUUUAUAGCAACUUACACAGCUCCCAUAAUAGCUUUUUUGGCUCAGCACCUCACAACAGAGUGCAUUGUUAUCCCCUUUCCAUGGAUGUGGAAUUAGGGCACACAGAUGCAGCCAUUUCUGCUGGAUUUCCCAUAGCCCAGAGCAGAGUCCUGGCCCCACAAUACUCUGAGAUGCCCCAGAUGUGAUCAGAGCCCUUGCUCUGUGCCUCAGUUUCCCCAUCCACAAAAGUUGCAUUGUAACAGGUUAAGCAGCAGACUGAAGUGGUAUAAAGCCAAAUUACUUUCUGCUAAUGCCAUUUCUUGCACCCUGAUAGUGCAAUCAGCAUGAUGCACUUUUGCAUUAUAAUGUAGUGGUGAUGUUAUGCUGCAGUGUAUUAAUUAAAUUCUUCAGUAUUAUCCCCUACUGAUAGAAUAACUUGAUAGUGGGAAUGGAACUCAAGCUUGUCAUGGAUUGGGUUGGGAGCUCUGGGAAGAUGGAUUCUCCCCAAUGCAACCAAAGUGGUGAUACAGAGGUGGAGCUCUAUAAUGUUUCCAUUAAUGCUGCCAUAGGAAUGUCUGCAGCUCACAGUCCCUGUGUCUCAUCCUGCAGGUACUGAAUGCACGUGUAGUUGUGUGCCUGCUCCAGCAGGGCUGCAGCCCAAAGCUGUGCCUGCUCUGCAGAACUGUGCUCCAGCACAUGUACAUCAAAGGUCUGGAAGGCCUUCGGUGGAGAUGUGCUGUGCAGAUGGGAGCUUACAAUUUCUAACAGGGAGGUACAGCUGCAGGACCCUUUAAGGAUUGUGUUCAGUGCAGUGCAAACUUCUCUAUGGCUGUGGUCUUAAUGUGCCCUGUUUCAUGAUGGUGAUUAGUUGGAUUAAGUUGUAUUGAUAUAAGCAAAGUAGGAGUGAGACAGUUGCAAUAAAUACAAUGAGCAGCGAUCGCUCCGUGCCAGCUGCAGAGCUUUGGACACACUGGGCACACAGGGCUGGAGGUGCUGGGACAGCCAGAUGUGGGCUCUGUGGCAUCUGCUGCUCCAAGCAGACCCUGCUGGAGCCAGGGCUGGGGGCACCCCUGGGCACGCAGGGCCUUGCAGUGCAGCACCAGUGCUUCUGACCUGAGGGAUGCAGAGGAGGAAAAGGUGAAACGGCGAGGGCAGCAGUAGAAGGAGGCUCAGAUUACAUCAGGGCUGCCUUUUAAUUGCAUUGUUGAAUUCCAGUUUCUAACUCCCCGAGACGAGACAUCAAACAGAGUGUUAAAAUUGCUCGAAACCAAGCUGCAAGUCUCAACACCAGAAUGCCUAUUACACUUAUCUGUGACCUUUUUAACGUUAAAACCACCAUAUUAUUAUUAUUUUUACAUCUCCACGUUAUUAUUAGGCUUCUGAAAUCUGCUGCAGCUUGAUUUAUGGAAAAUGCUUAGUCACUGGCACCGGUGCUGUGCUGUGAGGGAGGGAUGCUCUGAGGUGCCUUGGCAGCCCAGCAGCCCCAUUGCCCAGGCAGCCCUGUGCCCUCAGCUGCUCACAACCUGCCUGCUGGCAGCCUUCCUCUUUGAAGGCUGUGGGGGAAAUGACCCCACACCCACUUAAUGAACCUCUCUGAUCAACGGGGUCACACCAGCCUCAUUCUUCACGUGAAAAGCAAGCUUUGGUUCUGCUGCAUGCUUUGCCAGGAGCUCUGCCCUAGAUUUUAGACAGGUUGUGGGCUGGUGAAUUUGAGAUUUGGGUUUUGGAAGAAGCACCUUUGGUGACAGAAGCAGGAAGUGCUGUUAGAGAAACCUCCUGCUUUUCCUGGAGCACUGCUGUGUCCUUCGUUGCCAUCCAGCAGCCCUUGGAGUGCUUCCCCACGGAUCUGUCUGUGGAGCCAGGAUGGCAUGGGCUGUCUGGUGAGGUGUAGGGGCACAGCACAGGCUGGGAUGAAGCUGUGGGUCGUUGUGGCUCAUUGCAGGGGACUGGGAUCCAAGGGGCUUGGAAGGUCUGUUCCAAUUCAGCCAUUCUGUGACUCCAUGGCUCUCAAAGCCCAAAUAGGGAAGGGUUCCUGCGCCGAGCCAUGUGCUGCUGUCCGUGACCCUGCUUAGCUGAGCUCAUACCCGGAGCAGACGCUGCAGGACAGGCCCUUACAUGACAGCAUUCAUCCUGGGUUUUACAUACACGAGACCAUAGUAAGUGCUAAUAAUUGGCUGCAGUCUAAAGACACCAAUUAUAAACCAGUUUCUCGCUAUUAUUUGCUGAGUAAUGGCUCUGUUGAAUUCUUCAUAAAGCAAACGCAAGAUCCCAGACCUCAGCCCUGCACCAUGCGUGCCUGCAUGGCUCCAGAGGGACGGCUGCUCCCCUCGUCCUUGCUCACACCUUGCUGUGCUGCAGAGCUGCCAUCCGGACCUCAGCAACAGGCGAAAGGAGAGGGAUAAGAGAUCCCAACUGUCUUCAUCCCAGUUUCUUCUGUGGGUAGGCUUGAGGCUCACUGAUGGAGCGUGCCUCCUUGCAACACACUGGUGUCUUGGAGGUCCAAAUGGGAAGGCCAAAGAACACCCCUGGAGGAAGGAGCUUAGCUUUGCCAUUUGCACUGGAAUAAGCCUUUGUGGAACGUAUUUAAGGAGCUACCAGAAGUAAAACAAUGAUUCUGCUCGGCGGAGUCUGGUGGACAAAAAGAGGCGCAGAUAUAAAGUCCUGAACUGCUGAGAGCAGUUGGAAAUAACGGAUUAGUUCUUCUCUCCUGACUCAACGCCUUUAUUCUUUCAGACAUGAUUUUUUAUUGCCCGCGCUCCUGUAAUGUGUUGUGGUGACUCAGUGAAAGGUCUGCAAUAAUGUUUCAUUGCUGGGAAGUCACCAGAUAGCCACAAUUCAUCGCCCAGGCUCACACGGUUACAAGUGCUUAGAAUACAGCCAGAAACGGGCCGUAAUCGAUAGAGGAGGAUAAAAUAAGAGCUGGGAAAAGCAUUGCAGAGCAUGUAUUGAGGAAUUACACACUCAGAAAGCAAUGUUCUGGACACGUUCUGGGAAUGACAUGAGUUAUCUGAUGCUGUACCUGAUGGGACAGCUGUGCUGCUGCAGUGUACUUUCACCUUUCUGUUCCAGCAGACCACCCCAGGCCCUGCCUGCUCUGUAUGACAGCAGGGCUGCCUGU